AGGGGAUGCCUUGGGGCUUGAGUUGAAUCAAACCAGGCAUUUGCCAGAGAUGCAGUAGCACCAAACUUCAGGGUGCUUUCUCUGUUUUGUACACUGAGAAGCUUUUGUUGAACUUCAAUUUUGUUCUGGGAUCCACCCUGCCCCCAUGCAGCCAUGUUCUUCAGGGGAAGUGAGCACUACUGACCGACUCCAAACCUGGUGAUAAUGUCAACAUUGAAGACUCAGGAAAAGAAGGUGUUAAGAAUUUGAAUUAAUGAUAACAAAGGUGCCAAAUCAAGCAACCCUGGAGCCUCCCUAUCCUGGCACUUCCAGUUAUGUGAUUUAAUACAUUUCUUCUUAUAGGAGAAUACAUUUCCUUUCAUAUGAGAUAAUACAUUUCCUUUUUCUUUACCCAA